UUCAUAUUUCUAUUGCCUAAUCAUCUAGCUCGACAAUAAGAGUGUAAAAUCGUAGUUAAACAGCUUCACAGAUUGAAUAGCUCAGAUUGGUUAGCUAAAAUGAGUGGUUUAAGUCUAAAAGAACGCCUGCACGACACGUUCAUUAAAGCAAGCAACACCGUCUCUAAGACUUCGAAUACGUCUACCUUUUUGACGACUGGGAAAUUAACACCUGAAGAGUUCGUAACAGCAGGUGACCUGUUGGUUCAUAAGUGUGGUAGUUGGAGUUGGUCUGGAUGUGACCCUAAUAGGGCAGUUAAGUAUUUACCUCCCGACAAGCAGUUUUUAUUAACAUCAAAUGUAACGUGCAAUCCAACUUCGAAGUCUAAGCAUAAUCCUGUUGUUGUUGAAGACAACUGGACCGUACUUAUCCCUGAUGAACCUUUAGAAGAAGAGAUUGAAGUACCUGCUGAAAGCUUGUACAAUGAAGGAAAUGACACAGGUGAAGAUGACGAAGUCCUGGAUGCCGAAACAUUCAGUGGUGAAAACAAUCUAUUUGAUGACGUGGACCUGGUUGUUCCUAUUGAAGAAUCACAAAAAACCAGAAGCUACACCGUUACUAUUUGCUAUAAUCAAUAUUAUCAAGUACCUCAUGUCUGGCUUUUUGGCUACGAUGAGAAUGGGCAGCCUUUGGCGCCAAAGCAGAUUUAUGAGGACAUUUCUGAAGAUUAUCGAGGACAGACUGUCACAAUCAAACCACAUCCACAUUUGGGCCUGCCCUAUGCCUCUAUUCAUCCAUGUAAGCACGCUAGCCUUAUGAAGAAGAUUAUCGAGGCCAUGAAACAUAUGGGGAAAGAACCCAAAAUUGACCUUUACUUGUUUAUCUUUCUCAAAUUUUUGUCUGCUGUCACUCCCAACAUCGAAUACGAUAACACGUUUGAUACCAAUAUUGCGUUGUAUCCUGAAAUACUAGAGUAAUCAAAAAAUGCUGUCUAUUACGUUCAGCUCAGCUCCCCCUAAAUCGGCAGCUAUCACUCUAGACUCCGGGGCCAUGUAUACACGACCGAUGAAGUGACUUAAAUCUGUCUGGUUCAGAGUAAGAUAUGCUUCACAAUAUAAAGCUGCCAUCAAUUACGUAACAAAAGACUAAGGCCGUCAGAUUUUGACUCAAGUUUUUGCCAUAUUAUUUUACAAUAUCGAAAAAAUUUUUUGGCUGGUCGUUUAGUUCGCAUCUCCUUUGCUUAUUCAAAGAAUAAAAUGCAGUUUUAUAAAACACAGGUUUGGACGUGUGGAUGGCAUUUCUCAAUUUGCACGGUCUGUCUUUUCAGUGCUACUUUAUUAUUCGCAUGUAUGCCGACUUGAAUUUGGAAAAAGGUGUACGCCUUGCAGGGUUAUAUAAUUCAGUCCCCCGAGUUCUAACGACAUGAAGGGAAAUGUACGUAUCUGCCUUAUCUGGCUUUGAGAAGCAUGGGAGAGGAGCAGACGAUAAAGGUAAUUGCGUAUUUAAGGAACACUUGAUUCUAAUAGAAAUCUGUUACGUCUGGAACCAGCACAUUCAAAAAAAUAAUGCAUAACUAGAGUAGGAGAAAAGACCUGAAAGAUACAAAACGAUGUUUCCCUUGAUGAUUUGAAUUUUUAGCUGGAGUAUUUCAAACCAUUUCUUGAUUGCGAAUCUAAAAGUUGAAGGGUCUAAAAAAUUUAUGUUUGAUGACAUUCAAAAAUAAGUCUGAGAUUUAGGCUUGCAAUGCUGAUGAUUUUGAAUUGUGUUUGACGUACACUCUGCUUGGAUCCCAUUUAAGGCAUGUCGUACGGUGUCCGCAAAUUUUACCGAUAUAGGAAUACCCAGAUCGAAGGCAAUUGACCUGACUAAGUUUGAUGCUUUGAAUGCAUACAAAAGUUCCCUAGGGAUGGAUUCAAGAAGUUGGUUAGUAGAUUUAAAUCCUUGGUCGAAGGAAUUACCGAACACAUUCCGUAAUUUUUCGAGAUCUUUCUGGCUAAACUUCGUUCCGUUGAGUCUUAUGUCAGACCUAAAGAUAUUAAUUUCGUUAAUAAGGCAGCUUUUUUAAAUGAAAAACAUAACAAAGGUGGCUUACUUAAUUCUUAAAAGCAUCAUAACUGCUAAUAGUUCAUGCAAAUCUCCAGCUCCCAGCUGACGAGAGUAAUAUUGCGUGGCGGACUUGUCCUUUUUCAAAAGUGACUGGAGUAGAUGGCAGUAGUUUAACCGAACAUCUCGCGGGAUUUCUUUAUAUAAUCCGUGGUCUAGAACGA